CGAAGGGGGCUAGCGUUGUUCGGAAUUACUGGGCGUAAAGCGCGUGUAGGCGGUUGUUCAAGUCAGGGGUGAAAGCCUUGAGCUCAACUCAAGAAAUGCACUUGAUACUGGAUGACUAGAGGACCGGAGAGGAUAGUGGAAUUCCCAGUGUAGUGGUGAAAUACGUAGAGAUUGGGAAGAACACCAGUGGCGAAGGCGGCUAUCUGGACGGUUUCUGACGCUAAGACGCGAAAGCGUGGGGAGCAAACAGG
rnacentral:rRNA from 1 species